GGUUCCAUAGUGUAGCGGUUAGCAUGUCUGCUUUACACGCAGAAGGUCCUGGGUUCGCGCCCCAGUGGAGCCA
rnacentral:tRNA from 1 species